AUUGAACGCUGGCGGCAGGCCUAACACAUGCAAGUCGAGCGAGCGGCGGACGGGUGAGUAAUGUCUGGGAAAAUGCCAGAUGGAGGGGGAUAACAACUGGAAACGGUAGCUAAUACCGCAUACUAUCAGAUGUGCCCAGAUGGGAUUUGCUAGUAGGUGUGGUAACGCCUCACCUAGGCGACGAUCCCUAGCUGGUCUGAGAGGAUGACCAGCCACACUGGAACUGAGACACGGUCCAGACUCCUACGGGAGGCAGCAGUGGGGAAUAUUGCACAAUGGGCGCAAGCCUGAUGCAGCCAUGCCGCGGGUGUGAAGAAGGCCUUCGGGUUGUAAAGCACUUUCAGCGGGGAGGCGUUACCCGCAGAAGAAGCACCGGCUAACUCCGUGCCAGCAGCCGCGGUAAUAC
rnacentral:rRNA from 1 species